GCUGGCGGCAUGCCUAACACAUGCAAGUCGAACGGUAACGCGGAGAGCUUGCUCUCUGGCGACGAGUGGCGGACGGGUGAGUAAUACUUAGGAAUCUGCCCAGUAGUGGGGGACAACUCGAGGAAACUCGAGCUAAUACCGCAUACGCCCUACGGGGGAAAGCGGGGGAUCUUCGGACCUCGCGCUAUUGGAUGAGCCUAAGUCGGAUUAUGCUUGUAGGUAGGGUAACGGCCUACCUAGGCGACGAUCCGUAGCUGGUCUGAGAGGACGAUCAGCCACACUGGGACUGAGACACGGCCCAGACUCCUACGGGAGGCAGCAGUGGGGAAUAUUGGACAAUGGGCGCAAGCCUGAUCCAGCAAUGCCGCGUGUGUGAAGAAGGCCUGCGGGUUGUAAAGCACUUUCA
rnacentral:rRNA from 1 species